GACGAACGCUGGCGGCGUGCUUAACACAUGCAAGUCGAACGGAAAGGCCCUGCUUGCAGGGUGCUCGAGUGGCGAACGGGUGAGUAACACGUGGGUGAUCUGCCCCUUACUUUGGGAUAAGCCUGGGAAACUGGGUCUAAUACUGGAUAGGACCAUGCUGUAGGUGGUGUGGUGGAAAGAUUAGUUUCGGUAAGGGAUGAGCUCGCGGCCUAUCAGCUUGUUGGUGGGGUAAUGGCCUACCAAGGCGUCGACGGGUAGCCGGCCUGAGAGGGUGGACGGCCGGUGGGGAAGGGAUAGGGGGCCCGCAGCCCGGGGGGGGGGGGAAGGGGGGAAUGUGGCACAAGGGGCGCAAGCGUGAGGCAGGGAGGCCGGGGGGGGGUUGAGGGCUUGGGGUUUGAAAGCUCCUUAAGGCGAUGAGAACCCCGUUGGGGGAAGGUAAGUGAAAAAAAAACCACCGCCAACCUAGGG
rnacentral:rRNA from 1 species